rnacentral:rRNA from 1 species
GGGUAACCUGCCUGUAAGACUGGGAUAACUCCGGGAAACCGGAGCUAAUACCGGAUAGUUCCUUGAACCGCAUGGUUCAAGGAUGAAAGACGGUUUCGGCUGUCACUUACAGAUGGACCCGCGGCGCAUUAGCUAGUUGGUGGGGUAAUGGCUCACCAAGGCGACGAUGCGUAGCCGACCUGAGAGGGUGAUCGGCCACACUGGGACUGAGACACGGCCCAGACUCCUACGGGAGGCAGCAGUGGUCAUAGC